rnacentral:pre_miRNA from 1 species
GCAUGAAUCAUCUAUGGAUUUUGUUAAAAUGCAGAUGUGGAUUUAGCAGGUCUGGGGCAUGAUCCAAGAACCUGCAUUUCUAACCAGCUCCCUGGUGCUGCUGGU